GCCAGGGACAGCACCGGGGCGCCAGUGAGGACCAGGACACACAGAGCUUCUCCUCUUGAACUACAGAAGGGCACUACCAACAGAUGGCCUGGGCUUUCAAGUGGAGUCCCUCACUGAGCCCGGAGACACUGGAAAGCAGGCCAAAUAGACCUGUGCGAAGAAUAGGGAGCAGCGGGACACGGGCGACCAGAGAGGGCGCACUCUGCUCGGCCACCGCAGGACUGCCCUUGAGGCCGCUCGGCCCCCUGGUGCAGGACAAUGAAAACAGGGAAGCCCAGAGCGGGCCCAGACUGCAGGUGCCCAUGAACAAUCCGGGCAGCCGUGGAGCCCACUCUGAAUGACACACCCCACUCCGCGGAGGGGCAGGUCCUCGGUACAACUCCGACAGGGGCUCAGCCACACCUGGCUGCGCAGUGGACCUUCAAAUGCCGGCCUCCCACAAGCUGUGUGUGAGAGAGAGAGAAUGAGAGAGAGAGACAGACAGACAGACACACAGAGACAGGGAA